rnacentral:rRNA from 1 species
AUGUGUGUUUCAAAACGGAGCGGAAGCAUGGGGUUUAGAGACCCGGAGGCGUUUAACCAGGCCCUCCUUACCAAACAAGCGUGGAGAAUUUUGCAGUGCCCCUCAUCUUUAUGUGCAAGGGUUCUUAAGGCAAAAUAUCUCAAGGAUGACUCCAUAUUGAUAGCCUCGUGUCCGGCCGCGGCAUCCUUCACCUUCAGGAGUAUUUUGCAUGGG